CUGAGGGUAGGACAAGAACAGGCUCUGUGUCGACCCAACAGGUUUAGGGUUGAUGGAACAGGCGAAUAAAGGAUGGAGAUACAAGUAAAAGAAAGAACAACAAUGGGAAGUGACCCACAAUUACAACUUGGCAAUGCACAGAUGGGAAAUAAGGAGAAAUGACAUAUCAGCUGAUACAUUUGCAGCUCAGGAGACAUAAGACUCGAACUGUCAAACCCUCAAAGAAAAAUAAAGGAUAUUAACUCAAAGACCAGAAGAUCGGAGGAACCCACCCACUCAACUUCCUUGGUUUGCACUCUCUUUGAAGAUUAAAAAUGAGCAUCAGCUAUUUAAUGUCCACUGCUUUAGAAUGUGUCUACAAUGUGAUAAAUUAGCCUCUGAAGGCAUGUUCACAGUGGAACUGUUUGUGAUGAGAUUUGUAUUCAUUUCUGGGGAAUUACAUUUUUGUCGUUUAGAUUUUUUUAAAGAAGCUUAUUUUGUGUUCAUUAAAGUGAGCCAUGUCAGAUUUAGGAAUCA